UAUACAGUCGAUUUUAGCAUUGAAGCUGUUGUACGAAGACUUACAAACGCGCUUCAACUUAAAGUACGUGUUAACGUACCGACUAAACCAGGAAGUAUUGGAGAAUUUUUUCGGCGUUAUCCGGUCGAAAGGAGGCAUGAAUAACCACCCCGAUCGCCAGGAAUUUAAGUACAGGCUGCGCUCUUACAUCCUCGAUUACUUAGAUUAAAAUAGGGUACGCACUGCGACUAAGAGAUCUACUGAAUUUGCCGAUCAAGAGGAACACAAGCUGGAGUCCUUGGAGAACGACGGACUCGAGAAUCUUGCCGGUUACAUAUGUCAUAGGCUACAUAGCGUAGUGCCUGACAUGAGGGUGGAAUGUGACGACGACAGCUUCACCUGGGUAAACCAACUAACCGAAGGUGGUUUGUCAAGGCCAACGGAGGCGAUGAUGACUCACAUGCAGCAGCUGCAGAAUGUGUUUGAAGAAAUAAACGGCACUGGGUUGCAAGCAAUGGCCAAUUAUGUGGGAGAACAUAUUAAAAAAGCUGAACAUGUAAAUUGCCACGACAGAAUAAAGAGACUGUUUUUCCGUGCGCGAAUGUUCAUCAGAAUUCGAACUCUGAACAGACAGAUUUCUGAUAGUACACGCUCUCGAAAGCGGAAAUAUCGUAAAAUAAUAAAAUGAGCAACUCAAAAAAUCGUUAAAAAAUUGGCGAACCACGGCUGAUAGCCCACAAUAAUGACUAUGCAAUCCAAGCAUUGAUUGUGUAUUUUUAUGUUAUAGCGCCAACUCAGUACUGGACGCACUACUUCAACCAGCUAGAAUCAAGCAUUUUAUUCACUAAGCAAAAAUGAAAUGUAUCAAGUUCCACGGUGGUCCCUUUCGAGACUUUUGCUUCUCACACACCUCUGUUAUUGUAAUAUUGAAGAGCGAUUAUUCCUGGAGCUAUACAUUUUAUGCCGCAGAAUGAAGCGCUCCACAUGCACAUGUCGGAGAUAUGAACUAACUAAACACAGGUAAUUUUACGCGGACACCACUAGUUUUCACUUUUAUUCAUCGACAAAGGAGUUAAUUUAACACAACAACGCGUUUUCCAACAUUUAUUUUUAUUAAUAUGCUACAAUUUGUUAGAAGUUUCCUAAAUCAAUCGUCUGUGAAUCAAUUUGGGUUGCUUUGUUUACAUUGUUUUGUUUAUUUUUCCAGCGAAACAAGAUGGCGUAGAACCCGCUCAAAAAAUCGACUUUUU